AUUCUUCUUUUUUUUUUCUUUUUUCCCUUUUUUUUUUCGUUUUCCCGUUUCACUUUCCAACAGGAAAGCGUGCCGAGACUUCGCAUGAACAAAAAAA
rnacentral:ribozyme from 1 species